UACGUAGGGACCGAGCGUUGUCCCGGAUUCAUUGGGCGUAAAGAGCUCGUAGGCGCCACUCAAGUCGAAUGUGAAACCUCGAGGCUCAACCUCGAGCCUGCAUUCGAUACUGGGCGGCUAGAGUCUGGUAGGGGGAUCUGGAAUUCCUGGUGUAGCGGUGGAAUGCGCAGAUAUCAGGAGGAACACCGGUGGCGAAGGCGGGAUCCUGGGCCAGUACUGACGCUGAGGAGCGAAAGCGUGGGGAGCAAACAG
rnacentral:rRNA from 1 species